AUAGCAGCACCAGAAGAAUCAGCAGGAACCCACCAGGGCAGAGCCUCAGCUUUCAGCCUCCUAGAAUGAAGCGUGAACCCAAAGCAAAGAGCUGAACUGCUUUCACACCUCUGACUUCACAGACAAAGAAACAUGCAGUUCCGAAGUCUUGCCAGCCACACCAAAGAGCUUU